UACGUAGGGGGCUAGAGUUGUCCGGAUUUACUGGGUGUAAAGGGUGCUCAGGUGGAUUUGUAAGUCAGAGGUGAAAUCCCAAAGCUUAACUUUGGAGCUGCCUUUGAUACUGCAAGUCUUGAAUUUGAGAGAGGGUAAUGGAAUAUCUGGUGUAGCAGUGAAAUGCGUAGAUAUCAGAUAGAACACCAAUGGCGAAGGCAGUUACCUGGCUCAAAAUUGACGCCAAAGCACGAAAGUGUGGGGAGCAAACAGG
rnacentral:rRNA from 1 species